rnacentral:rRNA from 1 species
CCUACGGGGGACAGCAGUGAGGAAUAUUGGUCAAUGGACGAGAGUCUGAACCAGCCAAGUAGCGUGAAGGAUGACUGCCCUAUGGGUUGUAAACUUCUUUUAUAAAGGAAUAAAACGAGGCACGUGUGCCUUUUUGCAUGUACUUUAUGAAUAAGGAUCGGCUAACUCCGUGCCAGCAGCCGCGGUAAUACGGAGGAUCCGAGCGUUAUCCGGAUUUAUUUGGUUUAAAGGGAGCGUAGAUGGGUUGUUAAGUCAGUUGUGAAAGUUUGCGGCUCAACCGUAAAAUUGCCAUUGAUACUGGCAGUCUUGAGUACAGUUGAGGUAGGCGGAAUUCGUGGUGUAGCGGUGAAAUGCUUAGAUAUCACGAAGAACCCCGAUUGCGAAGGCAGCUUACUAAACUGUGACUGACAUUGAUGCUCGAAAGUGUGGGUAUCAAACAGGAUUAGAUACCCCAGUAGUC